CGGAAAUUAGGCUAUUGAUCUUUCAUCGAUAACUCACCGAUGAGCAAUUGUCGGUAGGUAUUUAAGCUCUCAGUUAGUUUAAAAGUAUGUAAAGUAGUAAAUUUUGAACAUUACAGAGCAAGCAUGAUGAAGACUGUGAUCAUCCUUUUGGCAUUGGUGACCAAGGUCUAUUGCUCCUACUACGACGUCAUUUAUCAUAAAACACACUAUGGUCAUGGAGAUGGAAUCAGUUACAGAUUCUUCAAAAAAUACCAAGGACACAAUAAUGACUAUGGAUACGGUUCAUCAUACGGCGGUGUGGAUGACACUAGUUAUGACUAUGAUGGGAAUGGAUAUGGUUAUUAAACAUGCCAAAUUCUUAGAAUAUCACAAUUUUGAUAACAAAAUUUUUACCUGAUGUGUGAAACUGGGGAAUGGAAGAUGCUGCAUUCAAGAUAAAAUCAUGUCUUGAAUUGUGAAUAAAAUUAUUAUUAUUAUUAUUAUUAUUA